rnacentral:rRNA from 1 species
UAUGGAAUCUUCGGCAAUGGACGAAAGUCUGACCGAGCAACGCCGCGUGAGUGAAGAAGGUUUUCGGAUCGUAAAACUCUGUUGUUAGAGAAGAACAAGGACGUUAGUAACUGAACGUCCCCUGACGGUAUCUAACCAGAAAGCCACGGCUAACUACGUGCCAGCAGCCGCGGUAAUACGUAGGUGGCAAGCGUUGUCCGGAUUUAUUGGGCGUAAAGCGAGCGCAGGCGGUUUCUUAAGUCUGAUGUGAAAGCCCCCGGCUCAACCGGGGAGGGUCAUUGGAAACUGGGAGACUUGAGUGCAGAAGAGGAGAGUGGAAUUCCGUGUGUAGCGGUGAAAUGCGUAGAUAUAUGGAGGAACACCAGUGGCGAAGGCGGCUCUCUGGUCUGUAACUGACGCUGAGGCUCGAAAGCGUGGGGAGCAAACAGG